rnacentral:rRNA from 1 species
UACGUAGGUCACAAACGUUGUGCGAAAUUACUGGGCGUAAAGGGUCCGUAGGCGGUCUGGUAAGUGGAAGGUGAAAUCCUACGGCUCAACCGUAGAAUUGCCUUCCAAACUGCUGGACUUGAGGCAGGGAAAGGUCGGCGGAAUUCCCUGUGUAGCGGUGAAAUGCGUAGAUAUCGGGAAGAACACCAGUGGCGAAGGCGGCCGACUGGAACUGUCCUGACGCUGAUGGACGAAAGCGAGGGGAGCAAACCGG